rnacentral:tRNA from 1 species
GGAGAGAUGGCCGAGCGGCUGAAGGCGCUCCCCUGCUAAGGGAGUAUAGGGAUCAUAUCCCUAUCGAGGGUUCGAAUCCCUCUCUCUCCGCCA